rnacentral:tRNA from 1 species
UGAGAUGUAGCUCAGUGGUAGAGUGCUUGCUUAGGGUAUGUGAGGCUCUGGGUUCAAUCCCCAGUACCUCAA